AGUGAACGCUGGCGGCGUGCCUAAUACAUGCAAGUCGAACGGUGUGGCGCACGGGUUCGUAAUGUAUAGCUAAUCUGCCCUACACUAGAGGCCCACAGUUGGCAACGACUGCUAAUACUCUAUAGUGUAGGUUGAGGCUAUAUUCUAUCAGCUAGUUGGUGAGGUAAUGGCUCACCAAGGCUAUGACGCAUAACUGGUCUGAGGGGAUGAUCAGUCGCACUGGAACUGAGACACGGUCCAGACUCCUACUGGAGGCAGCAGUAGGGAAUAUUGCUCAAUGGGGGAAACCCUGAAGCAGCAACGCCGCGUGGAGGAUGACACUUGUCGGAGCGUAAACUCCUUUUGUUAGGGAAGCGGUACCUAAAGAAUAAGCACCGGCUAACUCCGUGCCAGCAGCCGCGGUAAUUG
rnacentral:rRNA from 1 species